rnacentral:tRNA from 1 species
UAGGAAAUGGUGUAGUGGAAGCACUAAGAGUUUUGAUCUCUUGAGUUUGGGUUCGAGUCCCUCUUUUCUAA